CAGCCGCCGCGGGAAUACCAGCACCUCGAGUGGUCAGGAGGUUUAUUGGGCCUAAAGCAUCCGUAGCCGGUUGCAUAAGUUUUCGGUUAAAUCUAUGCGCUUAACGUAUAGGCCGCCGAAAAUACUGUGCAGCUAGGGAGUGGGAGAGGUACACGGUACUCGAUAGGAAGGGGUAAAAUCCUUUGGUCUAUUGAUGACCACCUGUGGCGAAGGCGGUGUACCAGAACACGUUCGACGGUGAGGGAUGAAAGCUGGGGGAGCAAACAGGAUUAGAUACCCGUGUAGUCCCUGUCUCUUAUAA
rnacentral:rRNA from 1 species